rnacentral:rRNA from 1 species
GGCCAGACUCCUACGGGAGGCAGCAGUGGGGAAUAUUGCACAAUGGGCGAAAGCCUGAUGCAGCAACGCCGCGUGAAGGAAGAAGGGUUUCGGCUCGUAAACUUCUCUCGACAGGGACGAAAGAAAUGACGGUACCUGAAUAAGAAGCCCCGGCUAACUACGUGCCAGCAGCCGCGGUAAUACGUAGGGGGCCAGCGUUAUCCGGAUUUACUGGGUGUAAAGGGAGCGUAGACGGCAUGGCAAGUCAGAUGUGAAAGCCCGGGGCUCAACCCCGGGACUGCAUUUGAAACUGUCAGGCUGGAGUGCAGGAGAGGUAAGUGGAAUUCCUAGUGUAGCGGUGAAAUGCGUAGAUAUUAGGAGGAACACCAGUGGCGAAGGCGGCUUACUGGACUGUAACUGACGUUGAGGCGCGAAAGCGUGGGGAGCAAACAGGAUUAGAUACCCGCGUACC